UCUUUUCUUGGUCUUCUGGGGCCACGGGAUAAGUUGGUGAUAACUACCCAAGUAGUAAUGAAGAAAUCUAUUCUCAUUCUAUAGAACCAUGAUAAUAAAUACCAUACACUAAAAAUCUCUUCAUUACAUAAUUAUAAUUUAAGUUAAGGUUGAGAUGAAUAUCAAACAUUUUACUUUUGAUUAUAUGACUAAAUCUUAGGUCUAGUUUUUGAAAAUAAAGACUUACUAUUAGAACUUUUUUUUAAUUAAAUCUAUCUACUUUUUCUA
rnacentral:lncRNA from 1 species